CACGUAGGGCGCAAGCGUUGUCCGGAAUUAUUGGGCGUAAAGAGCUCGUAGGCGGUCUGUUACGUCUGCUGUGAAAACCCGGGGCUUAACCCUGGGCUUGCAGUGGAUACGGGCAGACUAGAGGCAGGUAGGGGAGAAUGGAAUUCCCGGUGUAGCGGUGAAAUGCGCAGAUAUCAGGAGGAACACCGGUGGCGAAGGCGGUUCUCUGGGCCGAUACUGACGCUGAGGAGCGAAAGCGUGGGGAGCAAACAGG
rnacentral:rRNA from 1 species